rnacentral:rRNA from 1 species
CCUACGGGUGGCUGCAGUAGGGAAUAUUGCUCAAUGGGGGAAACCCUGAAGCAGCAACGCCGCGUGAGUGAUGAAGGCCUUCGGGUCGUAAAGCUCUGUUGUACGGGAAAUGGUACCGUAUAAGAAAGGACCGGCUAACUUCGUGCCAGCAGCCGCGGUAAGACGGGGGGUCCUAGCGUUGUUCGGAAUCAUUGGGCGUAAAGCGUGUGCAGGUGGUUUGGUAAGUUGGAUGUGAAAGCCUUGGGCUUACCCCAAGAAGGGCAUUCAAAACUACCAAACUUGAGUAAGGAAGAGGGUCGUGGAAUUCCAGGUGUAGUGGUGAAAUACGUAGAUAUCUGGAGGAACACCGGUGGCGAAGGCGGCGACCUGGUCUAACUGACACUCAUACACGAAAGCGUGGGGAUCAAACAGGAUUAGAUACCCGAGUAGUC